GAUAGCAGAUAUUCCGCUAAAAUUAAUUGGUUUUACGAAUUUAGAAAUUUAUAGAUAUUGUGAGGACUUAAAAAAUACGCUUGGAAAUGAGUUCUCUUUCUUUUUUCCAAAAAGAAGGGCGAUGGAAAAACAUGUGAACAAUAUUGAUUUCAAAGUAAUACCGGAUAGCACGGUAUUUAUAACAAGCUGUGUUAAGGCCGAAAUGAAGAAAUCAAUUAAUUAUGAAACAUCUGUGCAAAUUUCUGCAGGAAACGAGCUGCCCUGAAGACUUUCUACAACAUUUCCUCCUGCAAAGCCAAGAACAGAUCCUUUUUGUAUUCGAAUGAUAUCUGCUUUAAAAGCUCCGGAUACAGGGUUGUAUUAAUACUCCCUCAUUUGAGGCCUCAGUAUUACUUCUCUAGCGACAGUGUCAAGGAGUCAGCAAAUGUGAUGGGAAUGGUGGCCAUGGCCAUUGCAUUACUUCCACCUUCUAUCAACGAAGUAAGAUUGGACAGCGACAUGUUCGUGACGCAUCUCACAUUCGAAUUUCGAGUGGCACACUGUGAAUCCAGAUAAGAGGAACUUGAAAAUAAAUUUCAGAAAUUACUGUUGCCAAAGUUGUAUUCUAAUUUUCCAUCAUUUCUUCCCAGAGUGUUAGAACUGUUCGAUUACAUAGCUGACGAACUGACGGGUAAAAAUAUGUACGCACUUUGUCAUGGACAGAAUGUACAGAGAUUAAGGAAAUGUCACAUUGACCAUGGUGAAUAAAAGGUUUUUCUUGAUUCAAAUCCAUUAUUUCUUUACACAAAAUUAUAUGUAUAAAGCUAUAAAGAAAUAGAUUUUUGUGUAUUAUCAAUUAAUUUGUAAUUGCAAUAAAAUAUA